rnacentral:lncRNA from 1 species
CUUUUUAAUUACUGCAUUGGUCUCCUCUGUAAAUUUCUUUUUUUUUUUUUACUUUUACCCUCCUCUUUUUACACUAGUCAAAAGUUCGUCAAGUGCUCCGUAUGCUAUCUUGGGAUCAAUCUCAUUUGCCAAACAAAUUAGUUCAAUGAUCAUGGAGUACUAGUAUUCUGUUAGUGAUCUCUACCGAUUGGGUGGUUGUAAUAUGUAUGCCGAUGGUAUUAUGCCACGAUUUC